GGAACAGUGGUAAUUCCUACGAUUAAGAAACCUGUUUGCAGAAGGACUCGCACUACGCCAGUCAUUAAAAUUUUAUCAGGUGGGAAAUUCGGUGGAACACAGUGGAGCCUCGUCCUCCGGGUCAAUGUCUUAGACAAUGGCCCCUACUCCUGAGAGAAGAAAUAUACUGGGGAACCAGUCUUUACCGACCGUUGUUAUCAGAAAUAGUACGGAGCCUGGCCUAGGUCAGACUUCGAUGGGAACGGCAACGGUUGUUCCGUUUGACUUGUCGCCUGCUACGGCGUGCGUGUCAAGGUCUGUUGAGUGCAAUCGUAGGACGCCAUACCGGGCGAACCCGAUACCGAUUACUGCUGCUGUUCC
rnacentral:RNase_P_RNA from 2 species